rnacentral:rRNA from 1 species
AAACAACAGGAUUGCCCCAGUAACGGCGAGUGAAGCGGCAAAAGCUCAAAUUUGAAAUCCUGCGGGAAUUGUAAUUUGAAGGUUUCGUGGUCUGAGUCGGCCGCGCCCAAGUCCAUUGGAACAUGGCGCCUGGGAGGGUGAGAGCCCCGUAUGGCGCACGCCGACUCUUUGUACACCGCGGCUCCGACGAGUCGAGUUGUUUGGGAAUGCAGCUCUAAGUGGGUGGUAAAUUCCAUCUAAAGCUAAAUAUUGGCGAGAGACCGAUAGCGAACAAGUACAGUGAUGGAAAGAUGAAAAGCACUUUGAAAAGAGAGUGAAACAGCACGUGAAAUUGUUGAAAGGGAAGGGCUUGCAAGCAGACACGGUUUUACCGGGCCAGCGUCGAAAAGGGGGGAGGAACAAGAACUCGAGAAUGUGGCGCGCACCUUCGGGCGCGCGUGUUAUAGCUCGUGUUGACGCCUCCAUCCCUUUUCGAGGCCUGCGAUUCUAGGACGCUGGCGUAAUGGUUGCAAGCCGCCCGUCUUGAAACACGGACCAAGGAGUCUAACGUCUAUGCGAGUGUUUGGGUGCAAAACCCCAGCGCGGAAUGAAAGUAAGAGGUUGGAGCCGCAAGGCGCACAAUCGACCGACCCUGAAGUGCUCGGACGGGUUUGAGUAGGAGCAUAGCUGUUGGGACCCGAAAGAUGGUGAACUAUGCCUGGAUAGGGUGAAG